rnacentral:rRNA from 1 species
GAUUUCUGGCCUGAAGUAUUUUGCCAGCCACGGUUUCGUGUGUUAGUGCUUGAUACUCUGGCCAUCCUUCCAAUCGCCAUCUACUUCUCUUCAUUGAUUAGUAGGUGGUAUUGGAUCUUUUACUUUGAAAAAAUUAGAGUGUUUCAAGCAGGCUUUAUGCUAUGAAUACAUUAGCAUGGAAUAAUAAUUUAGGACUUCGGUUCUAUUUUGUUGGUUUCUAGGACUGAAGUAAUGAUUGAUAGGGAUAGUUGGGGGUGCUAGUAUUCAGCGGCCAGAGGUGAAAUUCUCGGAUUCGCUGAAGACUAACUUAUGCGAAAGCAUU